rfam:Arabidopsis thaliana chromosome 4, complete sequence.
AAGCCAUGAUGCGGGCAGUCCCGUUGAUAUUCCUUGAAGCGAACCCAUGCUUCUUUGACUUUGUGUGAAGGUAGACAUUUUGUUCCGCACCUU